rnacentral:rRNA from 1 species
UACGUAGGGUGCAGGCGUUAAUCGGAAUUACUGGGCGUAAAGCGUGCGCAGGCGGUUUGCUAAGACAGGUGUGAAAUCCCCGGGCUCAACCUGGGAACUGCAUCUGUGACUGCAUAGCUAGAGUACGGUAGAGGGGGAUGGAAUUCCGCGUGUAGCAGUGAAAUGCGUAGAUAUCGGAAGGAACAUCAGUGGCGAAAGCGACUGCCUGGACCAAUACUGACGCUCAUGUGCGAAAGCGUGGGGAGCAAACAGG